GAUCCUGGCUUAGGAUGAACGCUGGCGGCGUGCCUAACACAUGCAAGUCGAGCGAUUCUCUUCGGAGAAGAGCGGCGGACGGGUGAGUAACGCGUGGGUAACCUGCCCUAUACACACGGAUAACGUACCGAAAGGUACGCUAAUACGAGAUAAUAUGCUUUAGUCGCAUGGCUGAAGUAUCAAAGCUCCGGCGGUAUAGGAUGGACCCGCGUCUGAUUAGCUAGUUGGUAAGGUAAUGGCUUACCAAGGCGACGAUCAGUAGCCGACCUGAGAGGGUGAUCGGCCACAUUGGAACUGAGACACGGUCCAAACUCCUACGGGAGGCAGCAGUGGGGAAUAUUGCACAAUGGGCGAAAGCCUGAUGCAAGCAACGCCGCGUGAGCGAUGAAGGCCUUCGGGUCGUAAAGCUCUGUCCUCAAGGAAGAUAAUGACGGUACUUGAGGAGGAAGCCCCGGCUAACUACGUGCCAGCAGCGGC
rnacentral:rRNA from 1 species